CCAUGUUGCAUUGAAGCACCAGUUCUCAUAUGAUCACCAAUGUUAAGCAAUGUUGAGCAUGGUCAGUACCUAGAUGGGUGACUGCUUGGGAAUUCCAGCUGCU